GGAGCUUGGGGCACGGGCAGUGGUAGCUGCUCAACUUCCUCGUCGAUAUCCGCCUCGUCGUCAGAAGAUUUUGGAGCCGAGGAGUCUGAAAAGGAUUAAGAAACGGCAUCUCAAGUAACACCGAACCUAGCCGCCUUCAUAGCCGGAGAUGUCAACGAAAGGACAUUCUUAUUUCCAUAAUUUAAAAAUCUUGUUAAUAAAAGGACAACGUCUGGUUAAUUUUG